rnacentral:sRNA from 1 species
GUCGGUUGGUCGGACCUGGCGGUCCCGGAUCCUGAACAGCCCCCCCAGCCCCCCUGGAUCGGCGGACUGGCCAACCGGCGCUUUGGUAUCCCCUCCCCUAGCGCAGCCCGUGCGGUCCCUCUCUCCAGCCGCGCGGGUU